AACGAACGCUGGCGGCAUGCCUAACACAUGCAAGUCGAACGGGAUCCGGACUUCGGUCCGGUGAGAGUGGCGGACGGGUGAGUAACACGUGGGAACCUGCCUUUUGGUUCGGGAUAACCGCGGGAAACUGCGGCUAAUACCGGAUGCUCCCGAGAGGGAAAAGAUUUAUCGCCAGAAGAGGGGCCCGCGUCCGAUUAGGUAGUUGGUGGGGUAAUGGCCUACCAAGCCGACGAUCGGUAGCUGGUCUGAGAGGAUGAUCAGCCACAUUGGGACUGAGAUACGGCCCAGACUCCUACGGGAGGCAGCAGUGGGGAAUAUUGGACAAUGGGGGCAACCCUGAUCCAGCAAUGCCGCGUGAGUGAUGAAGGCCUUAGGGUUGUAAAGCCCUGUCGCAGGGGAAGAAUAAGCAUCGGUAUAAUACGCCGGUGCCCUGACGGUACCCUGCAAGAAAGCACCGGCUAACUCCGUGCCAGCAGCCGCGGUAAU
rnacentral:rRNA from 1 species